GGAUCUUGGCGAACAGACUAAGUGGUGUUCUCCUUCAGUGGGAUGGUUAAACCAUUAGGCUGCUAAGUGGGAAGCAGCUGCUGGUGGUCUUGCCGUGAUGAGGGGAGGAACUCCUGAGCGGGCAGGCAAUGCUGAGCAUCUCCACUGCCAAUUUACUUAACCUCGUGAAACAUUUCUUCCUUAAUCUGUCAAGUGGUGGAGAAUAAUAUCUAUCUCACAGUGCUGUUUUGUGGAUUAAAUGCCAAAUACUAAGUCCAGCAAGUGUGAUGCUCAAGCUUGGGCCAUGAUUACCGCAAGAGAUUGAAGACAUUGGCUUUAUGGAAGAUGUGCACUGAACAUGCUCUGGGCACCAGUGGUCCAUUUAAGGGCUUAUUGCCUCCAGGAUACUUCUCUUGUCCACCUGAUGCAAAAUAAUUCCUCUCUAUGACGAUGUUCCAGCUGGAAUGAAGGAAGAAGUGGAUAAGAAAGGAUUCCCUCCCUUGAAGAUAUAACCUAGGAGUUCUGUGCAUCACUUCUGGUCAUUUCUCACUGGCAAGAACUCUUCUUAUGGUCACACAAGAGAGGCUGGCAAAUUUGGCUUUUAUUCUGAGAAACCCUAUGUCCAGCUGAAAAUGAAGGGAUCUGUUACUGUGGGAGAAAAGGAUAACAGAUAGUGGGAACAACUAGCAGCCUCGGCCACAGUCCAUCCCCUUGUUACCCAAACUUCCAUGUUCCAAAUCAUCCCUACACCAAAGGAGACAACUCCAAGAUUCCUUGUAGCUACUGAACCCAUAUCAAAGUCUACGAUCUCUGAGUAAGGCACAGUCCUCUCCAUUAGGUCUGUGUGCAGCUCGUUCUUCAUGGGGCAAUGACUUAAAAAAUGCAAGAUAAAUCAUCUGCCUCUCAGAUAGUCAAUAUACAACGAUGAAGCAGGGUCUGGAAAAUAAUAAAAAAUCCCAUUUGGAUGGAGGCAAAGGUGAAACACAGAACAGCAAAUGCCCCCUAACAAUGGACCAAACCCCAUGGCCCAUCCAGGAUCAUUCCCUGUCUUGGAGGAACUCUUGAGUUCAUCAUCUUUGAUGUCUUCUGGCCUUACCAUUUUGGAAUGUUCUUUCUUGUUCAUUAUCCGUCCUGGCCACAUUUGAGAUUGGCCAUUCAGAGCAGGUUCUCCUUUUGGACUAAAAAGCUUUUGGAACAUGUCAAGUCAAUCCUUUGUCAAACACCCAUAGUCAGCUCUUUUGUUUAGAAGAAAGAUUUUACACCUGAAGGGUCUGUUUUGAAUUUGCUUCUGUGCUUUGCUCAUUACUCUGUCUUUCAAGUUAGUGGCAGCUAACUAGUUGCACCUAAAACAAAGACUUCAUUCAUCUAAUCAUUUCCUUGAGGCUGGCUCCAAUUUUCUGGCAAAAAUAUCUUUUAAAAGAAGGUGUUGAAUAAAUUUGGAGGCCUGGUUUUUAUCUCCUGCUAAGUCUGGCACUGCAGCGCUCUCACUACUAAUAGCUGUAUUUUUGGGGUAUAGAAGCAAUUUUCAACUUUGAAAAACCCCAAACAAAUAAGCUCCUGGUCAAUUUAGAUUGUUAACCACAGGCAGAGUGUGUUGCAAUGCUAUAUUUUCUUUCAUUUCUAUUAACACACUGGCCAUCUUUAUUUUGGAUUUAUAUCUCUUCUUUAGGAUUUUGCUGAAAGCCACAAGAAGUGGUAACUCAGACCAACAUACUAUAUAUAUUAUAUAUGUAUUCCUCUAGCACUAUAGCCUCAUUGAAUGUGUGUUCUAUCUCCCAAAGCAGUGCCUCGCUAUAUUGCCAAAUGUUUAGUCUCUGGAUAACAAGGAUUACUAAAUUUCCAACUUGCAAUAUUUUGAGUCAACACUGCCCAUCACCCAGACAGUAUUCUGAAGUCACAUGGAUGUUUGUCUCUGUUAUGUUCAGCAUUCCACUUUAAGGUACCAAAAUUAGCCAAAGUACCUCCUUUUGCUGAUGAGAAAGAAGCUUUAAAACAUACAGCAGUUGGCAAAAAUAAAGCAGAGGGAGCUCCAGGAUGGAUUCUGACUCUCAUUUCCUGCCCAGGACAGGGGGUGGAAAAAAUGACAAAAAUCCAGCUGUGCCUCUCUUUCACAUCCAGAAUUGUGAAUUGUAGAAUUCAUUUAUUCUGUCCAGCACCAACUGGGCUGAAUCUUGUGAAAGAGAUCUCCUUCUCCUGAGGGAUGAAUCAAACCUGCCAAUAACUAUGCCUCAUCCAGGACACAAGAGCUUGACAAAUAUUUUUUUCGGCAAAUGUGUUUUCUUAGCAGGAAGCCGGUGAACAAUCAAGUGUCUCUUUUACUGGCUGUGUAGCUCAGCUGGAUCCUAGUAGCUCUGGUCUCUGCCCAAAUGUUUUUAGGACUUCCCUUCAGAAGCUGGCAGCACAGGGACCACCCACCUCUCUCAGUCAAGGUUAUUGGUCCUUUGGAAGCAGCAAUGUAACCACUUAGGUACAGAAACUAAAAUAACAAUUGAAUGUUCAUACUUCUGGUCCCAUUUGAGCCACACACCGCCUUGUGAGCUAAGAAUGAUUAUUGCUCUUUUGUAAACGAAUGCACUGAGGGUUAAAAAAGGGGAGGGAAAUUUUGUUGGUUUACACAGCUAGAAAGAGACCUUCCCUGACUACCUUCGUUAUAUAUAACCUGCUGUCCCCCGAAAGUCACCAUCAACAUUAGUCUAUUUUCUUAACACCACUGAUCACAAGGUGUAAUUACUGCCAUCUUUCUUUCCUGAUUGUGAGACCAGACUCCAAUCCGGUCCUCAUCUAGUUCUCAUGCGUUGUGCAGUCUCCUCCCACUGGAGACCCAUGCUGGUCCCUGUGACUAAUAGCACGUGGAAGAAACAAUGACAAAUGACUCUCAAGGUUACAUCAUAAAGGACACAACUCUGCCCCGCCUUAGGGAAUCCAGCAGCCUUGCCAGAGGGGUACUUAAGCACCCCAGGGAGAGGCCCACCUGAAGAGUAACUGGGGCCUCCUACAAACAACCAGCAGGAACUUGCCAGCUUGGCGAAUGGCCCACCUUGGAUGUGGACCCAUCAACCCAGUGAAGCCUUCAGAUGACUGCAGCCCGGAUGACUCUAACUGCAAUUUCACCAGAGACCUUUAGCCAGAACUGCCCAGUCACACUUCUCCUGAGUGCCUGGCCCACAUGGGAUCCCAUUUGAGAUGUUGGCAUUGAAAAUAUGAGACCUAAUAAAUGUUUAUCGUGGUUUGAAGCAAUUUAUGAUGCAGCAAUAGAUACCGAAGACACUCUUCUGUUUCCCCUGGCAGACUGUAAACUUCAUGAGGGCAGGGCCCAUAUCUCUCUGCUUCACUGCUCUCACACCUGAGAUGAUGUCAAGCACACAGCAGAAACUUAAUACACAGUUAGUGACUAAUGGAUCACGGCAAGUGGUAGUGAGAAGAUUAAAAUCUUCAUGCCCUCUCCUCCCUUCCAGCCCUUUCCCACAGCACUCUGUCGGCCUCCCUUUCCUCUCGGAUUUGAGUCUCACAGCCACCUGGGGGGUGGGCUUUUUUUCCUGUUGCCUACACAGCAGUUCAUAGUUAAUUAAACCUUUGUAUAAACAGAACAAGGGAGGAUGUAAAAGUAAUGAGCUGACAGCCCAGUGUGUAUUAUGUGGGGCUGAGAGGAGAAUUUAAUUUAGAGAAGAAUUAUGCACAGGCGGAAGAGCAGUCCAUUAAAACAAACCAACUGUCUGGAAAGAGAUAAAACAAACACGGAUUCUGCAUCCUGUGAAAUAAAUAGUGAAGCUGCACAUUCAGGGCACUCUGGGAUCCUCAGAGAUGCGAUGCAUGAUGAGUGGGAAAAGAAAA